ACCUGCUCCAUAGCUCGUCCAUUCACGUACACUGUAAAUUAUCAACACCUCACUCUUUGACCUUUUAACUGCAUAUAUUUAACAAUAUGAAAUACAUACGCGCAUGUACACGUUUAAAACUUGCAUUACAACUACAAAAGCGUUCUAUUUUUUAUAUACGAUUUAAGUUUUUUUGUUCAUUUCGAAUUUCAUUUUCAUAACAUUUAUAUUAACUUCUUACAAUAAGAGACAUUAGAAUAUAUAUAAAAUAACAUAUUGUUUGAGAGGCGUCAGAAUAUCAGAGGUGCGAGACGAAUGGCUGAACGCACACAAAACUACACUUUUGAAUUACUAAAACUUUGGUUCAACGUUGUGGACACAUCUUUGAAGAUGGUAACGGUUAUUUAAUUGACAAAAAUUCUACCAACAUUUUGUUUUACACGAUAUCUUAAAGUUUGAGCAGCUCUUGAAAAUUCUAACAUUUCUCGCACUUUAUUCUAGUAAUAUUGAUUAUUUAAGAAGACAGGUCAAUAAAAUGGUAGAAUGUUAAACGAUUAUUACUUGUAAACUUGAUGUUUCUAAAAUUUAGUAUAAAUUUGAUACAUGCAUAAUAUGUUCUUAGUCAUCUAUACCUUCACCAACUUUCGGACAACGUCCUUGUACUAUCUUGUGGACUGUAAAAUUUUUUUCGUGCACUUUUGCAGAGUCCUAUAAUUGUAGUUCUUCUGAUAUUUGGUUUCCGUUGACAAAUUUCAUUUGUACAAGCAACACCGAAAUUGAACCAUACACAUUCGUGUCUCAUGUGAAUGAUUGUUUUAUGUUUUUUCAAGAUUUCGAAGCACCUGAUAUGGCAACCUUCGAAACUGCGUGAAUAAGACUGAAAUUUUCAAUAUUUCAAACCAGCAUAGAUGACCUAUAGCUGGUGCCAUUAAUAACAAGUGUUACACCAAAAUAAAACUUUAAUUCUUUCCAUAAAGUAAACGUUUGGAUUUUGCUGGUUAAACUUGUAAAUCAGGAACCAACACUUGAUGCUUGUGGUAGGUGUUUUAUAUUUCUCCAACGAAUACAACAAUUAUUCACAUUUAGUUUUUCAAUCCAGGAUUAAUCCUCGGUUGCAUGGAGCGUACAGAUAUUUGGAAUACCACACUUAUUUAACCCGUCUCGUUUCCUUUCCAAUGUUACGCGUCUGUUUAAUGUAAUUCGAAUUCUUGAAUAACAGCCCAUUUUACAGUUUUUAUUGAACGAGAAUGACAUGGCAAAAACUAUACUCCGUUGGAAAUAGUCAGCUGAAGGUGUUAAUCUUUAUAACUUGUUUUUUUAUCCAUUAAUUUAUUUUCCUAAUUUCGUUGUUCGCUCAGAGUGCACACGAAUGAAGAAUACGUAUUGUUCUGCAUGUCGUCCAAGUUAAUUAAGGAAGGAGUAAAUGUUUCAAAUUUUGUUGAUAAUGUUUAUGCUUGCUUUCAUCAAUGUUCCACUAUGUCGCAAAAUUUCACUGUCAUUUUCCGCAAAUGCAGGAAAAGAUACUGAGCAGUGUCACCAGAUACUGUAAUAUGCUUUCAUGAUUAAUAGUUCAAAUGCAUCGUCAGAAUGUGAUUCCGUGAAACCACGUUGUGGAAUGUUGGAUAAAGUUUAUCAUUUUAUUUUGCACAAAUAUAGAACUCCACCGGAAUGUCUGUGUGUCACACAUGCAAGGAAACAUGCUUAUUCUGUUACAAGGUCCAACGUAUGGUGUUUCCAUCUUUCAAUUAAAGUUUAUACAAAUUUGCAUAAAAACGUACUGACCUUGAAAUCUUUUUGUAUGUAAUGCUUUUAUACAGGCGUUCCUAAAACAAACUCUUAGCUGAAAACUUUUUUCUCACCCCUAUAGCAUAUGCCGGCCCAAGAUAAGUCAUUUUCACAUAUUGCGUUUGAGAACAAAUAGCAAAUAUAUUAAAAUACGCCACUGAAAUAUGAUGAAAUCUGAUACCUACAAUAAAUUUCAAAAAUGUUUUGUCGUUUUCUUUGUUGUCAAAUUUGCAUAAACUUUCUUGAAUUUGCUGGUAGAUCGUUGUAACAAACAACAUCAACAAACAUUUCUAGACUAUGUGACUACUGAUAGGAAGACCCUAGGCCUGAAUAGGAAUCACGUAAGGCAACGUUGUUG
rnacentral:lncRNA from 1 species